UAGUUAAAAAUAUUUACCUUGAAAGUAUUAAAAACAAAUUUAACUUU
rnacentral:tRNA from 1 species